AUGAAUUUUUAAUCAAAACAGAAACGUGUACGCGUUUAAUACUUAUUUUUUUGUUUUAAAUUUUUUAAAUUGUGUAAUUUGUGUUAUUUUUAAUGUAUCUUUCAAGAAAUAUACGAAGUAUAGAGAAGGAAAAUACUGAAGAAGAACGACAAAUUGCCCCUCGACAUGCUCUCCAUCUAACCUAUGCCACAAAUAUAAGGGUUUGGUUAUUCCAUGCCAUCACCAAAUCGUGGAAUGAAUGACGCAUUUGAUCGAAAAUUUGGAACGGGAAAGUGAAUAUAAUCACCUGGAAUUUAAUUUGAAUUGUUAAAUCUUCCACAAAAGGAUUUCAUUAUUGCGGUUGCAGUGGCUUGUUCUGGAAGAGCAGACACAUUGUUAGAAGAAUGCCGCGCGGCUCAUUCAGUAAUAUUGCAAAAAACACCGCAAUGGAAAAGUUUUGUCAGCAUCGAAAAUCAUAAUCUGGGACGAAUGCACAAUGGCGCACAAACUUGAAUUAGAAGCAGUUAACCGAACAUUGAAAGGUCUAAGCAAGGACUCGAGAUAUUUUUAGGCGCUAUGAUUCUACUGUCUGGCGAUUUCCGCCAAACACUGCCAGUAAUUUCAAGAGAAACACCUACCGAUGAAAUAAACCCUUGCGAAUAUAUGACGCUAUGUGAAGAAUUUUCAGCUGACAACAAACACGAGAGUUGCAUUGCAAAAUGAUACAUCUGCUGAAAAUUUCUCAGUGUAAUUGAAGACUAUCGGUAAUGGUCGAGUACCUGUCGACGAAUCGAACUGAUUGAUUUCUCAGAAUUCCUUUAACUUUGUCGCAAAAAAAGACGAUCUCAUCAACAAAGUAUUUCCAAACAUCAUUUCCAACUACAAAAAUAAUGAAUGGUUGAGUGAGAUGAUUUUAACUAUAUAAUUCAAAGCGAGAUCAUUGAAACAAUGUAUUCAUUCAAAUAUAUUGGUCUGCCAACACAUAA